AGAGGGAGGACACGAUUGGUAGAGAGCGACAACAGAGGGGGGACACGGUUGGUAGAGAGCGACAACAGAGGGGGGACACGGUUAGUAGAGAGUGACAACAGAGGGAGGACAAGAUUGGUAGAGAGUGACAACAGAGAGGGGGACACGGUUAGUAGAGAGUGACAACAGAGAGAGGACACGGUUGGUAGAGAGUGACAACAGAGAGGGGGACACGGUUGGUAGAGAGUGACAACAGAGGGAGGACACGUUUGGUAGAGAGCGACAACAGAGGGAGGACACGAUUGGUAGAGAGUGACAGAGGGAGGACAAGAUUGGUAGAGAGUGUGUCUGAAGACCUCUCCUCCCUUUUCCCACCUGACCUGCUCAGUCCAUCCCCCACGUAUCCCUCCUCCCCUCCCAGAGGUUGUACCUUUCUUUACCUCCUCCACUUCUCCUCCGAGGAGUUGGCUAAUGCUCCCGGGAUUGAAGCUGAGACAUUCCAGGAGGAACCCACCUUUACAGAGAGCCUUCCGGAGUCCCGCAGCAGCCAAAUGAGCCAUGCCCCCAGGCCUCAUUGGCAGGGGGGGAGGAGCUCAAGCCUAGGACCUCCCCUUACCCAGCAGCCAUCUUUCCUGAGCAUGGGAUAUCUUACCGACUCAGAUAGAGAAACAAGGGGGGUGAAGAGAGCCUAUAGGAUGAGUCAGGCACUAACUACUGGCAACACGCCUCCCACUCUCCGAGGAAGAUGAGACAGCCCACCCCACCCCAGGAGAGGGACCCACCCCAGACUUCUCCAAGGUAGAGCCCAGGGUCCGCUUCCCCAUAAGCGGCUACACCCUCCACCCCCCAAGAGCAAAAACUCCCCCAGAACGAGGUCUCUGUCAGUGGAGCCCGCACUGGUUUUCAAGUCCACUGCUGACAUAGUGAGAGAGGUGCUGCUGAGCAGUACAGACGGACCCCCUCACCCCCCAAUGGACCCCACAGGCCCCUAAACUCCAUGGUGCCAGAGGACUUCAGAUGCCCACAACAGGCCAGCACUCUGGUACAGCAGCUACAGGAGGACUACAACAGGCUGCUGACCAAGUAUGCUGAGGCAGAGAACACUAUUGAUCAGAUGCGCCUGGAAGCCAAGGCAGUCUAUAUAAGUGGGCUUCUACUCUGACCCUCCCAAUUGCAGUCACGCUGUCUAAUCAGGUGUGCUCCAUGAAGGUGAAAAAGUCAUGACCUUAACCUUUCCCCAAGCUCAGAGGACGGAGCUCAGCUCAGGCUCCAUUCACCUGAAUGAACAGGCUGCCCACCAAGGACCUGGUGGAAUCUCCCUUGUCCGUCCCUCCUCAACGGCAUCCUCUUCCUCGAGAAGCCUGGGCCCUGGAGUUGGAGAGGGCUCUCUCAAAGCAGACUCACAGAUUCCUCCACCAGGUGCAGACAUUUGAAGAGCUCCUGAGGAGAGGGAAACUCAAACCGUUUGAGCAGAUGAAGCUUCUCCAGGGGCAGGUUUCUCUGGAAAGAGGUUAUCUAUAGCAGCACGAGAUGAACACAGAGUCCAACUGCAGAGUGGCUGAGCCCCUCUGACCCAGGGAGUUGGAGGGCUGUAUAUUCCAGUGUGGGAUGCGCUUGGAGGAGCUCAAAGAGCAGGUGGAGCAGACUGAACAGGACCGACCCACCUCAGAGGCCCCUCCCACUCUACCGCCUUACCCCACGCCCUACUCCAUGCCAGAAGGGGGCAGGGAGCACAUGCCACUCCCUGAGCUACCAGAGUUUCAGGGAGGUGCCCAGAUUGCUAGACCUGGAUCUGACAGAGGGAGACCAUGACUUUCAUGAUGCAGGAGAAGAAGCCACACAUGCAGGUGGUGAGGGGACAAGAGAGGGACCACACCCAGGGACCAGGAGGGAGGAGGGCCACACAUGUCUCCCUCAGAGAUAGCCAAUGCUAGGUCAGAAGGACACUACAUUCAUUCCACUGGCAAGACCAAGGACCAGCAAAUCAGUUCUUUGUUCCCCUAAAGACCUCAGCCAAUCAUGGCUCGUCUGCCAGUGACAGCAAGAGGUCAGAGGUCAGGAAGUCUCGAGGCAGCAGUCUCACCAGUCUGGGGGAGAGUACUGCGUCAGAGAGGAGGGGCUCCAAACUGCAGCCUGGGACCAGGAGAGUGUAAUCUCAGGAUAGGAUCAUCUCACCCGAGAUGUGGGCUCUGAGAGCAGUCACCUGACUCCUGCAGGACCCAGUCCCUUCCACCAGAUGGCCACAGCGAGUCCACACUGUGUCAGAGGAGGAUAAGGGACAGAGUGACCGUUCCACCUGAACACCCAAUCCCCAGCGCUGCUACCAGCCAAACCACUCCACCACUGCACCCUAUCACCAUGGCGAUCCCCCUCAGGCCCUGAGCUCUGGUCAGUUGACUAAUCACAAACUGAAGGACGGAGAGAGAGACAGAGGCACCCGGCCACAUCCCCACAGAGAUGUGAGAGGCAUGUCCUUUGUAGCGCCGACCCCUCCAUGCUGGGCAGUGUGCCGCUGGUCCAGUGUGUGCCAGUGUGCCCACCAGUUCUGUACUACUCCAGCCCAAUGAUAAAGGCAGCUCAAUCCCACCCCCAGUUCAUCUAUGUGUCGCUGAGUGGGGGUGUGGCCUCUGGGUUCAGGGGUCGUGAGCAGGUCAGAGGUGGAUCUGGCCAUUCCAUCUGCUGACCUGCGCUCUCCACCAGAAGGCACUGUCACAGUCCUGCAUGCACAGAUGGAUCAGACCAGAAAUACACCAGGGUCGUAUUUAUUAGGCACCAAGCAGAAGAAAACUGACUGAAACGGGGAGGAACUUCCUGGAUUUGUCCAAUAAGAAACACUUGUUUCCGUUGCAAAACAUUUUCUUGUGGUUUGCACUAAUGAAUACAACCAGGCAAGUCUUUGGACUAACCACUGUGAGGACACAGAUGUCUCUAAAUGUGGCGUUAUGUACUGUACACUUAAUAUUCGGUGUAAGAGUUUAUUUUUUUAUUAUUAUUUUUUUUAACCUUUAUUUAACCAGGCAGUCAGUUAAGAACACAUUCUUAUUUUCAAUGACCGCCUGGGAACAGUGGGUUAACUGCCUGUUCAGGGACAGAACAACAGUACCUUGUCAGCUCGGGGGUUUGAACUCGCAACCUUCCGGUUACUAGUCCAACGCUCUAACCACUAGGCUACGCUGCCCAGUUUGAUAUGUGGAGUAACAUGAAGCCUGGGUACGGAUACUAGGACCUCAACCCAGUCAUUAAGCCGCUGGCUUCUUUGGAACUAUUUGAUGGUCACCCAGUGGCUCAGCACUGAUAGUAAGGUAGGGUCUACACACACUCUACUUUAUACAGGUUACAGGUUACCUUUUAGCUUUAGAUCAAAGGUGGAGUGCCAAUAUUGCAAUCUCAAGUAUCAUAUAGAAACAACACAAAUUCAUCUCUUACUCAUGAAAUGCACUAGAAUCUGAAUAAUUUAUAUAUGAAUGAUUAACGUUUCAAAAUAACGGACAUAUGCUCAUUGUUUGUUUAAUUUGCUUUGAAACCUGGAAUAUUCUUUUUACAUUUGUUUUGUUACAUUUGAACAAUGACUGGUAUGGAUCUUCAGGUGAGGAGAUUAACUAUUCACACAUUCAUUUCUUCCAUUUGUUUACCCUCAUUUAUUGAUUCUAAAUUAUUUGUUUUGUAUUUUGUUCUUGAUCAUUUGUGUAUUGUGUGUAAUAUUUAGUUAAUAAGGUUACUAAUUGGUGUCAGUGUUACUGUAGUGUAAACUUGUACACAUCAGGAAAAUAUUUUAUCCGAAAAUUGAACACAAAAAUAAGAUUUCAUAAAUACACAUUAAUAGGAUUUCAGAAAUGGAGAUUUGGAAAUCUAGAUUCUGGUAUCUGUUGUACCUUUUGUACUGUGAUUUAUUAUCAAAUUAUUUUUGUUCAAAUAUUUUGUAGUAAAACAUUUGUAGUUCCGAUUUGAAGCCAA